AUUGAACGCUGGCGGCAUGCUUUACACAUGCAAGUCGAACGGUAACAGGCCGCAAGGUGCUGACGAGUGGCGAACGGGUGAGUAAUGCAUCGGAACGUGCCCAGUCGUGGGGGAUAACUACUCGAAAGAGUAGCUAAUACCGCAUACGAUCUAUGGAUGAAAGCGGGGGACCGUAAGGCCUCGCGCGAUUGGAGCGGCCGAUGUCAGAUUAGGUAGUUGGUGGGGUAAAGGCUCACCAAGCCAACGAUCUGUAGCUGGUCUGAGAGGAACCAGCCACACUGGGACUGAGACACGGCCCAGACUCCUACGGGAGGCAGCAGUGGGGAAUUUUGGACAAUGGGCGCAAGCCUGAUCCAGCAAUGCCGCGUGCAGGAAGAAGGCCUUCGGGUUGUAAACUGCUUUUGUACGGAACGAAACGGCUCUGGUUAAUACCCGGGGCUAAUGACGGUACCGUAAGAAUAAGCACCGGCUAACUACGUG
rnacentral:rRNA from 1 species